rnacentral:rRNA from 1 species
CUACGGGGGGCUGCAGUGAGGAAUAUUGCACAAUGGGGGGAACCCUGAUGCAGCAACGCCGCGUGGAGGAUGACGCAUUUCGGUGUGUAAACUCCUUUUAUAUGUCAAGAAAAUGACGGUAGCAUAUGAAUAAGCACCGUCUAACUCCGUGCCAGCAGCCGCGGUAAUACGGAGGGUGCAAGCGUUACUCGGAAUCACUGGGCGUAAAGGACGCGUAGGCGGGUUGGAAAGUCAGGUGUGAAAUCCUACAGCUUAACUGUAGAACUGCACUUGAAACUUCUAAUCUAGAGUAUGGGAGGGGGAGAUGGAAUUAGUGGUGUAGGGGUAAAACCCGUAGAUAUCACUAGGAAUACCUAAAGCGAAGGCGAUCUCCUGGAACAUUACUGACGCUAAGGCGUGAAAGCGUGGGGAGCAAACAGGAUUAGAUACCCCCGUAGUC